rnacentral:tRNA from 1 species
CGGGCAGCAGCUCAGUGGUAGAGCAUCCGCCCCGUGUGCGGGAAGACCUCGGUUCGAUUCCCGGCUGCUUAC